rnacentral:rRNA from 1 species
GGGUUGUGAGGUUAAGCGACUAAGCGUACACGGUGGAUGCCCUGGCAGUCAGAGGCGAUGAAGGGCGUGCUAAUCUGCGAUAAGCGCCGGUAAGGUGAUAUGAACCGUUAUAACCGGCGAUACCCGAAUGGGGAAACCCAGUGUGAUUCGUCACACUAUCAUUACGUGAAUACAUAGCGUAAUGAAGCGAACCGGGGGAACUGAAACAUCUAAGUACCCCGAGGAAAAGAAAUCAACCGAGAUUCCCCCAGUAGCGGCGAGCGAACGGGGAGGAGCCCAGAGCCUGAAUCAGCAUGUGUGUUAGUGGAAGCGUCUGGAAAGGCGCGCGAUACAGGGUGACAGCCCCGUACACAAAAGCGCAUGUGUUGUGAGCUCGAUGAGUAGGGCGGGACACGUGGUAUCCUGUCUGAAUAUGGGGGGACCAUCCUCCAAGGCUAAAUACUCCUGACUGACCGAUAGUGAACCAGUACCGUGAGGGAAAGGCGAAAAGAACCCCGGCGAGGGGAGUGAAAAAGAACCUGAAACCGUGUACGUACAAGCAGUGGGAGCACCCUUUGGGGUGUGACUGCGUACCUUUUGUAUAAUGGGUCAGCGACUUAUAUUCUGUAGCAAGGUUAACCGAAUAGGGGAGCCGGAGGGAAACCGAGUCUUAAUUGGGCGUUAAGUUGCAGGGUAUAGACCCGAAACCCGGUGAUCUAGCCAUGGGCAGGUUGA